AGUGAGUUCCAGGGGUCAGGGGCUGGACAGUGGUGUGCUGGCAACUCUCCCCAUCAACUACUACCUGGCCUUGCUGGCUGUUUCCCAGACACCUGGCUGGAGCCGCCGCCUCCGGGCAAAGUGACUUGAGUGACCAGCAGCAGCAGCACGGGGACCUCGUCCCCAGUCCGCAAAAGCCUGCUUGGCACGGAGCAAAGCUUUGCACAGACAUCGCUCUCACCUAGCAUGAGAACUUUUGAACUUUUAUUUGUUUGAGAGAGAAUGGGCGCCAAGAGCCUUCAGCCGCUGCUAACCGACUCCAGAGGCGCGCGCCACCUGCGCAUCUGCUUUACGUGGGUACCGGGGAAUUGAACCUGGAUCCUUAAGCUUCUCAGGCAAGCGCCUUAGCAGCUAAGUCAUCUCUCCAGCUCCACAGCUGAAAUCUUUAACAGGGAAUAUGGACUCCACGACACCGCCUCACAAAUGGGGGAAAUUGAGGCUGCCAUGUUACGGGGACCCAGAGGAACAUUUCCGACAUCAAAGCCAGGCGACCCAGGGGCUCAGACCCAGUAGGGAAAGCCAUUCUGUAGGCUGUGGAGCUGCCCCAGGGGUCUCCAUGGCCGGAUGGCGACUGUAGUCCAGCCUGUCAAUAAAUAAA